UACGGAGGGUGCGAGCGUUGUCCGGAAUCAUUGGGCGUAAAGGGCGCGUAGGUGGCCCAGUCAGCGUGCGGUGAAAGCUCGGGGCUCAACCCCGAGUCGGCCGUGCGAACUGCUGGGCUCGAGCACUGUAGAGGCAGGCGGAAUUCCGGGUGUAGCGGUGGAAUGCGUAGAGAUCCGGAAGAACACCGGUGGCGAAGGCGGCCUGCUGGGCAGUAGCUGACACUGAGGCGCGACAGCGUGGGGAGCAAACAGG
rnacentral:rRNA from 1 species